CGUAAUACCACCUGGGUUUGCAGGUUUAACAACUGUCUACUCUUUUAGCUUAUUGUAUGAUGGUAUAAUUUUUUGAAAUUGUGGUGAAAUACACUUAACAUAUCUUUUUAUGAUGGUAUCCAUUUUAGGUAACAUAUUUCCCUGGAAGAAGGUAAUCUUUGAAAAGAACUUUGUUCCUGGCCUUAGGUUCUUCAGCUCCUAGGGCUUCUGUUCUUUUUACUCCACUCCAGUGGUUGUCAAGGCAUCAGUGUCCCCUGGGAACUGAUGAGAAAUAUAAAUUCUUAGGUGCCCCUCCAGACCUACUGAGUGAGAAAUUUGGGGGGCAGAGCCCAACAGUCAAUUGACAGGUGAUUCUGAUGCAGGUGAAAGUUUGAGAACUGCUGCUCUGCCCAGUCUUACCGGUUUUUUGCACUGGUCAUUUUUAGAACUAAACUCUCCUCUAGCCCCUACUUUUCUUCUGGUUGUGUACCCUGACUUUCAGCGGCCCACUGGAAUCUCUGCUUAGAGCCCCGCAGCCAUCUCACACUGAGCAUUCCUUUCUUGCUCCUGUGUUUCUUCUGUGGAGCAUCACUGUCCUUCUUCUCACCCAGGCUUGGCCCAAGCACUUUUCUCGUGGAUUUUGACUGAAAUUCACAACUGAUCAAACACUCUGUUGUUUCCCUCUUCAUUCUACUGCUUCUGACACGGUGCAGAUCAGUUUCAACUGGGCUUUUCUAGUAAUUUCUUUACCCUUGGGCUUUCUCCUGUUCAGUUAUUUCUUCACAGUGCUUACUAGGCUUAUUCUUACAUAGAGUUCUGAGCAUGUUACAUGCUUAUUGAUGUCCCAGUGGUUCCCUUUUGUCUGCAGUUAAAUCUAAACACCUUGGAAGAAUGCCUGGCCCCUUUUGUCUGCGUUUAAAUCUAAAUACCUUGGAUGAAUGCCUUGCUUUUUUUCUAGCCUAUCUACUAUUAGGUUGGUGCAACAGUAAUCACAGUUUUUGCAUUGUUGAAAUUGGCCAUUUGAUAAACUGGAAUACAUUCUAAAUAAAUGUGGUGGAUACUUGAUACAUCAUUUUAAUGUGCGUUUCUUGCUUUGUGUUUUUUUGUUUGCUGUUUAUAUUUAUUUUAGACUAUGGAAAUGAUGUUAGACAAAAAGCAAAUUCAAGUGAUUUUCUUAUUUGAGUUCAAAAUGGGUUGUAAAGCAGCGGAGACAAUUUGCAACACCAGCAACACAUUUGACCCAGGAACUGCUAACAAAUGUACAGUGCAGUAGUGGUUCAAGACGUUUUGCAAAGAGGAUGAGAGCCUAGAAGAUGAGCCUACUGGUCAGCCAUCGGAAGUUGACAAUGACGACUGAGAGCCAUCAUCAAGGCAGAUCUUCUUACGACUACAUGAGAAGUUGCUGAAGAACUCAGUGUCGACCAUUCUGUGGUCAUUCAGCAUAUGAAGCAAAUUGGAAAGCAGCAGCGAGCCACUUCUUGAUCAGAUUGUGACAUACGGCAACAAGUGGAUUGUAAACGACCAGCUUGGUGGUUGGACUGAGCAGACACUCCAAAGCACUUCCCAAGGCCAAACUUGCUCCAAAAAAAGGUCACGGUCACUGUUUGGUGGUCUGCUGCCCAUCUGAGCCACUUGAGCUUUCUGAAUCCCAGCGAAACCAUUACAUCUGAGAAGUAUGCCCAGCAAGUUGAUAAAACAAUGCCGGCAGCCAGUAUGGGUCAACAGAAAGGGCCCAGUUCUUCUCCACAACAACACCUGACCACACUUGGCACAACCAAUGCUUCAAAAGUUGAACGAGUUGUCUAUGAACUUUUGCCUCAUCCACCAUAUUCACCUGACCUCUCGCCAACCAGCUACCACCCGACAAGCAUCUUGACAGCUGUUUGCAGGGAAAAUGCUUCCACAACCAACAGGAUGCAGAAAAUGCCUUCCGAGAGUUUGUUGAAUCCUGAAGCACUGAUUUUUAUGCUAUAGGAAUAAACUUAUUUCUUGUUGGCAAAAAUGUGUUGAUUAUAAUGGUUCUUAUUUGAUUAAUAAAGGUGUGUUUGAGCCUA